GCUUAUUCUUUUUGAAUAUUGCUUUGGGUUGUGCUUAUGCUCAGCCCAGAGGUCUUAAACACAAAGAUUUAUUCUUUUAUUUUAAACAAUAGUCAUGAAAAUUUUAACAAAUUAAAAUAUUCAAAACUUUCAACAACGGAUCUCUUGGUUCUCGCAACGAUGAAGAACGCAGCGAAUUGCGAUAAGUAUUGUGAAUUGCAGAUUUUCGUGAAUCAUCGAAUCUUUGAACGCACAUUGCACCCUCUGGUAUUCCAGAGGGUAUGCCUGUUUGAGCGUCAUUUCUCUCUCAAAACUUUUAGUUUUGGUAUUGAGUGAUACUCUAUCCAGGGUUAACUUGAAAUAAGAUAUGGCAAGAGUGUGCUAGGCGCAGCUUGAGCUUGUGUAAUGUAUUAGGUUCUACCAACUCAUUAAACAACUCUCGUUUUGAACCUGGCAUAUUGGCUCGGCCUAACAACAUCUUCAUAAAGUUUGACCUCAAAUCAGGUAGGACUACCCGC
rnacentral:rRNA from 1 species